rnacentral:rRNA from 1 species
UACGUAGGGUGCAAGCGUUUGUCCGGAAUUAUUGGGCGUAAAGAGCUCGUAGGCGGUCUGUCGCGUCGGCUGUGAAAACCCGGGGCUCAACCCCGGGCCUGCAGUCGAUACGGGCAGACUAGAGUGCGGUAGGGGAGACUGGAAUUCCUGGUGUAGCGGUGAAAUGCGCAGAUAUCAGGAGGAACACCAGUGGCGAAGGCGGUGUUCUGGGCCGGAACUGACGCUGAGGAGCGAAAGCGUGGGUAGCAAACAGG